GCCAGUCUAACAUGGAAAAAAAAAACACCCAGAAUACAACAUUUCACCAGAGUAAAAGGAAAUAUCCAAAGAGGUGAUGCCCGUGUUAAACAGGUGUUGCACGCAGCAGCGUUGAGCAGCAGACAGAACCUCACGACAAAAGACACUACAAGACAUCAACGGCUCAACGCUUUGAUACCUACAGGACCUGAUCACUCUUGGAGGCCCAAAAACAAAAUUCCAUUGGUUCUCUGUUUUGGCAGAAUGAGAUUCCUCUGUCACUCAGAACUGCUGAAUCCCUCCCAGCAUUCCAGAAGUGUCUCAAAUCGCAAUUCUUUCACACCCAUUUCUUUCCCUAUCUGAUGUACUCUUUACAUACUCUGUAUGUGACAAUUUUAAAAUGCCUAAUCUGCAUGGAUUAACAAGAAGUCUUUACAUCGGGGGAUUUUAUUUGCUGUAACGUCUUCUCUAAAUUCUCAAAAGUGUAUUUCUGGAGUUUCAGCAAAACCU